rnacentral:rRNA from 1 species
UACAGAGGUCUCAAGCGUUGUUCGGAUUCAUUGGGCGUAAAGGGUGCGUAGGUGGCAGGGUAAGUCGGAUGUGAAAUCCCGGGGCUCAACCUCGGAACUGCAUUCGAUACUGCUUUGCUUGAGUACUGGAGAGGAGAUUGGAAUUUACGGUGUAGCAGUGAAAUGCGUAGAGAUCCGGAAGAACACCGGUGGCGAAGGCGGCCUGCUGGGCAGUUGCUGACACUGAGGCGCGACAGCGUGGGGAGCAAACAGG